GACGAACGCUGGCGGCGUGCCUAAUACAUGCAAGUCGAACGCUUCUUUCCUCCCGAGUGCUUGCACUCAAUUGGCACGAGGAGUGGCGGACGGGUGAGUACCACGUGGGUAACCUACCCAUCAGAGGGUGAUAACACUUGGCAACAGGUGCUAAUACCGCAUAACAGUUUAUGCCGCAUGGCAUAAGAGUGAAAGGCGCUUUCGGGUGUCGUUGGUGGAUGGACUCGCGGUGCAUUAGCUAGUUGGUGAGGUAACGGCUCACCAAGGCCACGAUGCAUAGCGGACCUGGGAGGGUGAUCGGCCACACUGGGACUGAGACACGGCCCAGACUCCUACGGGAGGCAGCAGUAGGGAAUCUUCGGCAAUGGACGAAAGUCUGACCGAGCAACGCCGCGUGAGUGAAGAAGGUUUUCGGAUCGUAAAACUCUGUUGUUAGAGAAGAACAAGGACGUUAGUAACUGAACGUCCCCUGACGGUAUCUAACCAGGAAGCCACGGCUAACUACGUG
rnacentral:rRNA from 1 species